GAGGGGACCAGAGACUCACCGGAAUUCAACUCUUUCACGAGAGAGGACAUGGUGUUAGUGAUCGAAUCUGCUGCUACUAGAGAAAAUGCCCUGUAAUGGAUCUUCCUUUUUCCCUCAGAACAGAAAGUACAUCAUGCUCUCCCUUCAAAAUGUAAACUUUUAUCCCCUAUAAACAGUGGAUGAGAGCAUCUUUUUCUUCAGUCUCCCUGGAUAUUACUGAUGUUAAACAAUUUUUUUGAAUCUGCUAGGCAAAAGAUCUACAUGUGAGGACCUGGGAGGAUGUCCACGAUAUACCGCUAAUUCAAGGGAGAUGCAAAUUGCAGACCAAAAUGCAAUGCAUGAUCGAAUUUGUGUGAAAAAAGAAGAGUAUAUGUCCAUAAAAGCACACUUAAACAUAGAUAUUUAUAUAUCAGUGAAACGUUGAGAAGGGUCAAGCUGUUAAUAGUGUUUACUUCUAGGAAUGAGAUUGGCAGGCUGAGAGUCGGCAGGAGGAUUUCUUUUUUUCUAAUUUUCUACAAAUUUAAAAAGUGAUGACAAGAAAAAGUUCUAUAAAGUGUUAAAAUAUUUCCAAAUGAAUAAGAUCACUUGCUUUGGCACUCCACUCCCACCCCGACCCUCCGCAGUACAUAAGCAGAAGAGGCAGCGGUGGGAGAAUGCUGUUUGUUGUUGUUUGUCAUCUGACAUCCCUCUUUGCCCUCUUCUAUUGACAAUGGAGGGCUAGCCUUGCAGCCCCAUAACACAGAGGCAAUGAUUCAACUCUUUAAGGCAUCUGGAAAAUGACUAAGCAUCCUUCUUGAUCGCCUCAGGGCUAAAGAGCUGGGAUUGUUUACUCUCAAUCUUGAGUUUGCUUUAAUGUAAAGAGGCGAAAAUAUCUUUCGGAAUUUUAAAAUGGAUUACAUUUAUAAAAUUUCCUGGAAUAUUGCUGAAAGGAUUUCCCUUCCCUUAAGGAGCAAAGGCUCAUAAAAAAAAAAAAAACAGGGCAGGGCAAGAGAAGCCAAAAGAAGAUAAGAUGGUGAAGGGAAGAACAGAUUAGUGUAGGGAGUUUCUAAAAUGUCUUGCAGGCCCGGCUCUG